CGGCUGCUCAGUAACACGUAGUCAACCUAACCUAUGGACGGGAAUAACCUCGGGAAACUGAGAAUAAUGCCCGAUAGAACACUAUACCUGGAAUGGUUUGUGUUCCAAAUGAUUUAUCGCCGUAGGAUGGGACUGCGGCCUAUCAGUUUGUUGGUGAGGUAAUGGCCCACCAAGACUAUUACAGGUACGGGCUCUGAGAGGAGUAGCCCGGAGAUGGGUACUGAGACACGGACCCAGGCCCUAUGGGGCGCAGCAGGCGAGAAAACUUUGCAAUGUGCGAAAGCACGACAAGGUUAAUCCGAGUGGUUUCUGCUAAAGGAACCUUUUGUUAGUCCUAGAAACACUAACGAAUAAGGGGUGGGCAAGUUCUGGUGUCAGCCGCCGCGGUAAAACCAGCACCUCAAGUGGUCAGGAUGAUUAUUGGGCCUAAAGCAUCCGUAGCCGGCUCUGUAAGUUUUCGGUUAAAUCUGUACGCUCAACGUACAGGCUGCCGGGAAUACUGCAGAGCUAGGGAGUGGGAGAGGUAGACGGUACUCGGGAGGAAGUGGUAAAAUGCUUUGAUCUCUCGAUGACCACCUGUGGCGAAGGCGGUCUACCAGAACACGUCCGACGGUGAGGGAUGAAAGCUGGGGGAGCAAACCGGAUUAGAUACCCGGGUAGUCCCAGCUGUAAACUAUGCAAACUCAGUGAUGCAUCGGCUUGUGGCCAAUGCAGUAUUGCAGGGAAGCCGUUAAGUUUGCCGCCUGGGAAGUACGUACGCAAGUAUGAAACUUAAAGGAAUUGGCGGGGGAGCAG
rnacentral:rRNA from 1 species